rnacentral:rRNA from 1 species
CCUACGGGCGGCAGCAGUGGGGAAUAUUGGGCAAUGGGCGCAAGCCUGACCCAGCAACGCCGCGUGAAGGCAGAAGGCUUUCGGGUUGUAAACUUCUUUUCUCAGGGACGAAGAAAGUGACGGUACCUCAGGAAUAAGCCACGGCUAACUACGUGCCAGCAGCCGCGGUAAUACGUAGGUGGCAAGCGUUAUCCGGAUUUAUUGGGUGUAAAGGGCGUGUAGGCGGGAGCGCAAGUCAGAUGUGAAAACUCAGGGCUCAACCCUGAGCCUGCAUUUGAAACUGUGUGUCUUGAGUGCUGGAGAGGCAAUCGGAAUUCCGGGUGUAGCGGUGAAAUGCGUAGAUAUACGGAGGAACACCAGUGGCGAAGGCGGAUUGCUGGACAGUAACUGACGCUGAGGCGCGAAAGCGUGGGGAGCAAACAGGAUUAGAUACCCCAGUAGUC